rnacentral:lncRNA from 1 species
AUGGCGACGCAUUGUCGGGAGCAUUUUACUUCCCACCUAGUUCACUGUGCUUCUUCCAGACGCAAGCGAAAGGGAAAGCGAGGGACCCAUCACCCAGCCGCCCCUUCCAUAUCUCACAAGCACCUCGCGGGGCACAGCCCUCCCGGCCGGCCCUGGGCAGCGAUACCUCUCCGCAGGAGCGCCCGCACGCAGGGGAGGAUCCCCGCUCUCCCGGGCCCAGCCCCUCCAACCCCCGCCGCCACCUCCCCUCCCCCGCGGCUCCCUUCCAGGCACAGGAAUAAGGGGAAGUGGGAAAACCGGGGGCGCCAUUUUGAGCCGGGAAAGGAGAGAGCAGCGUCCCCUCCCCGCACGCCGGGCUGCCCACCUCGGCCGCCCGUGCCGCGGCACGACGCUCCCGCGGCGCCGGGGGAGCGGCCGCCGCCAGGAGCGCGGACAAGGCGCGUCCCGCCGCCGCCGGGACCCCCCCGCGCCGCCACCAUCUCCUCACCUGGCCGGGGUGGGGGAGCCGGGGCGGCGGCGCAGCGCUGUCCGUCCGUCCGUCGGUCGGGGCUGGCGGGCGCGCCGGGGCAGGGUGGGCGGAGGAGGGGUAAGAGGGGAGGCGGCUCCUCGGUGGGGGCGAGGGGCGGGGGCGCAGCCGUGCCUCACCCAGCCCCGCCGCCGACUUCCGCCGCCGCCUCUGCCCCGACCAAAACACACUCACACACACACAACACGCACUUCCGCCGCCGCCACGUCACGCCCGCACGCGCCGUGCCCUUCCGGUUCGCCCGCGCCGGCCGUCACGUGACUCCCUUUCUUUCCCACCUUUUCCCCUCCUCCUUUUGUUCCCGCUCCCUCCCCUCCCUGCCGGCCGCUCCCACCGCGGCCGAGCCGCUGUCGGCUGCAGGGUGUUUGUUCCCUGCCUCCCGCUUCUCCCCUGCUCCCGGGGGAAGAGUCCCUGCGAGCGACCCGCGCGUCUUCCAGCUUCCAUUUACGGUGGGGGUGGUGAGGCUCUGGAAUGGGUUGCUCAGAGAAAUUCAGGAUGCCCCAUCCCUGACAGUGUUCACGGCCAUGCUGGGUGGGGCUCCGAGCAACCUGCUGUUGUAG